rnacentral:rRNA from 1 species
UACGGGGGGAGCAAGCGUUAUUCGGAAUUAUUGGGCGUAAAGGGCGCGUAGGCGGCUUGGCAAGUGGAUGGUGAAAUCCCUCGGCUUAACCGAGGAACUGCCGUCCAAACUGCUUCGCUUGAGACCGGGAGAGGUGAGUGGAAUUCCCAGUGUAGCGGUGAAAUGCGUAGAUAUUGGGAGGAACACCAGUGGCGAAGGCGGCUCACUGGACCGGUACUGACGCUGAUGCGCGAAAGCGUGGGGAGCAAACGGG